GAAAGUUCCAGAUGAGUGGGCUCCACCAGAGAUCAAGCCUUAUGUUCCAGUGGAGAUGCUGCAAAAGUGGCUUACUGAUGACAAAGCUAGAGAUCAGUAUGUGAUUCGGUCUGGCGGUGACACAGAGGUCCUCUGGAAUGAUGCAAGACAAAUGAAGCCUGAGCUUGUUUAUAAACGUCCUUAUUGGACUGAGAGAUUUGUUCAAUGGUCCCCUAUGGGU
rnacentral:misc_RNA from 1 species